rnacentral:tRNA from 1 species
AAUAAGAUGCCUGAAAAAGGAUUACUUUGAUAGAGUAAAUCAUGUGAGUACAUAUCCCUUACUCUUAUU